rnacentral:rRNA from 1 species
AUCAUUUAGAGGAAGGAGAAGUCGUAACAAGGUUUCCGUAGGUGAACCUGCGGAAGGAUCAUUGUCGAUACCUGCAAAGCAGACCGCGAACACGCCUCCCGCCGCCCGCCGGCGCGCGCCCUCGGGCCGCGCCGCGCGGGCUAACGAACCCCGGCGCGGAACGCGCCAAGGAAAACCGAACGAAGCGUCCGCCCCACGGCACCCCGUUCGCGGAGCGUGCCGCGGGAUCGGUCGCCAAUCAUAAGUCAAAACGACUCUCGGCAACGGAUAUCUCGGCUCUCGCAUCGAUGAAGAACGUAGCGAAAUGCGAUACUUGGUGUGAAUUGCAGAAUCCCGUGAACCAUCGAGUCUUUGAACGCAAGUUGCGCCCGAAGCCAUUAGGCCGAGGGCACGUCUGCCUGGGCGUCACGCAUCGCGUCGCCCCCCACGCCCCGCGCUCGUCGCCGGGCUGUUGUUGGGGGCGGACACUGGCCUCCCGUGCGCCUCGGCGUGCGGCCGGCCCAAAUGAGAUCCCCGGGCGGCUGGCGUCACGACAAGUGGUGGUUGAACAUCUCAAUCUCUCUCGCGGUCGUGCCGCCGUGUCGUCCCGUGCGGGAAUCGAAAACGACCCAACGGUGCACGGCGCCUUACGGCGCCUCACCUUCGACCGCGACCCC